ensembl:lncRNA
GCGCCGAGACCCGAGCGAGGGUCAAGAGAAGCUGAUGAGAGCCCGGCCGUGACCCGAGCCCGUCGGGCUCCCGGGGUGGGCACGAGGCGCCUGGAUCAGUCCCCCCCUCCCUCCACGGGCCGCACCGGUCCCUCCUCUUCCAGGUGCAGGAGAGACGUGGCAGGAGCCGAGCCCGGGAGCCCCCGGCUCACCCCAAGAAGGGAGCCGAGCCCAGGCGCCCUCGGCUCACCCCAAGAAGGGAGCCGAGCCCGGGCGCCCUCGGCUCACCCCAAGAAGGGAGCCGAGCCCGGGCGCCCUCGGCUCACCCUGGGGAGGGAGCUGAUCCCAGGUGCCCCCGGCUCACCCCCAAAAAAGAGCCAAUCCCAGGUGCCCCCGGCUCACCCCAAGAAAGGAGCCAAUCCCAGGCACCCCUGGCUCACCCCGGGGAGGGAGCUGAUCCCGGGAGCCCCCGGCUCACCCCAGGGAGGGAGCCAAUCCCAGGCACCCCCGGCUCACCCCAAGAAAGGAGCCAAUCCCAGGUGCCCCCGGCUCACCCCCAAAAAGGAGCCAAUCCCAGGCACCCCCGGCUCACCCCACGAAGGGAGCCAAUUCCAGGCGCCCCCGGCUCACCCCGGGGAGGGAGCUGAUCCCGGGAGCCCCCGGCUCACCCCAGGGAGGGAGCCAAUCCCGGCUCACCCCGAGCUCUCCGGGGACGGCGCUGCCUGCUGGCGGCCGGCACGCGGGAGCCCGACAGGCCAGGCCGGAGUGUCCCGUCUCCCCGGCCACAGCUGGCGGCCGCGACUCCCCUCACCCGGCCUCGUUCCCUUUGCUCCCGCUCUAGGGCAAGCGAGGACUCAUCGGACCCCCCGGCUGCAAGGGAGACCCCGGGGACAGGGGCCUCGACGGCUACCCGGGGGAAGCCGGAAGCCCAGGAGAGCGGGGAGACCAAGGCAGCAAGGGAGAUUCUGGCCGCCCAGGACGCCGAGGGCCCCCCGGCCUGGAUGGAGAGAAAGGAAACCCGGGCUACCAAGGCAACAACGGAGCCCCCGGCAGCCCCGGGGUGAAAGGCGCCAAGGGUGGCCCCGGACCCCGAGGACCCCGGGGAGAGCAGGGCCGUAGGGGAGACCCCGGUGCCAAAGGCAGCCCCGGAAACGAUGGGCCCAAAGGAGAAAAGGGAGACCCCGGCCCCGAGGGACCCAGAGGCCUGGCAGGAGAAAUCGGAAACAAGGGGGCCAAGGGUGACCGUGGCAUGCCUGGGCCCAGAGGACCUCAGGGGAGCCUUGGGGAGCCCGGGAAGCAGGGAUCACGCGGUGACCCCGGGGAUGCUGGUCCCAGAGGAGAAUCAGGACCUCCAGGACCCAAGGGGGACCGAGGGCGCCCUGGCUUCAGUUACCCCGGGCCGCGUGGAGAGCCGGGAGAAAAAGGCGAGCCUGGCCCCGUUGGCCCCGAGGGCAGCAGAGGAGACUUUGGCACCAAAGGCGCCCCCGGGAGAAAGGGGGAGAAAGGCGAGCCGGCGGAUCCCGGCCCCCCCGGAGAGCCCGGCCCCCGAGGACCCCAAGGAUCUCAAGGCCCCGAGGGCGAGCCUGGACCCCCCGGAGACCCCGGCCUGACGGAGUGUGACGUCAUGACCUACGUGAGGGAGACCUGCGGCUGCUGCGACUGCGAGCGGCACUGCGGCGCUCUGGACAUCGUGUUCGUCAUCGACAGCUCCGAGAGCAUCGGCUACACCAACUUCUCCCUGGAGAAGAACUUCGUCAUCAACGUGGUCAACAGGCUCGGCUCCAUCACCAAAGACCCCAAUUCGGACACAGGGACCCGCAUCGGGGUGGUCCAGUACAGCCACGACGGCACCUUCGAGGCCAUCAAGCUGGACGACGGGCGCAUCGGCUCGCUGGCGCAGUUCAAGGAGGAGGUGAAGAAGCUGGAGUGGAUCGCGGGGGGCACGUGGACGCCGUCGGCCCUGAACUACACCUACAACGAGCUCAUCAAGGGCAGCCGGCGCAAGAAGACGCGCGUGUUCGCCGUGGUCAUCACCGACGGGCGCCACGACCCGCGCGACAACGAGCAGUCCCUGAAGGCCCUCUGCGACAAGGUGGAGAACGUGGUGGUCACCGCCAUCGGCAUCGGCGACAUGUUCAACGAGCAGCACGAGAGCGAGAGCCUGACGUCCAUCGCCUGCAACCAGCGCGGCCGCGUGCGCAACAUGACGCUCUUCUCCGACCUCGUGGCCGAGAAGUUCAUCGACGAGAUGGAGGAAUUCCUGUGCCCAGACCCGCAGAUCGUCUGCCCCGAGCUCCCCUGCCAGACAGAGCUGUACGUCGCCCAGUGCACCCAGCGGCCGGUGGACAUCGUCUUCCUGCUGGACGGCUCGGAGAGGAUCGGGGAGCGCAACUUCCACAAGGCCCAGCGCUUCGUGGAGGAGGUGGCCCGAAGGCUCACCCUGGCCCGGCAGCACAACGACCCCAUGAACGCCCGCGUGGCCCUCCUCCAGUACGGCAACGAGCGCGAGCAGGAGGUCGUCUUCCCGCUCACCUCCAACCUGACGCUGAUCCAGAGCGCGCUGAGCAACGUCCGGUACCUCAACUCCUUCUCCCACGUGGGCACCGGCAUCAUCCACGCCAUCAACAACAUCGUCAUGGACCAGCAGGCGGGCGCCCGCCGCAACGCCGAGCUCUCCUUCGUCUUCAUCACGGACGGCAUCACGGGGGAGGUCAGUCUGAAUGAGUCACUGCACUCCAUGCGCAAGCAGGACGUCGUGCCCACCGUGCUGGCCCUGGGGAGCGACGUGGACAUGGAGCUGCUCCUGAAGAUCAGCCUGGGAGAUCGGGCCGCCAUCUUCCAGGAGAAGGACUACGACAGCCUCUCGCAGCCCAGCUUCUUCGACAGGUUCAUCCGCUGGAUCUGCUAGCCGUCGGCCCGGCCGCAGAAGGCACAGCCCCCACGUGCUCCGCGUCCCCCCUGCCUGUCCCGACACGAGGCCCUUCUCCUCCCCCCUCCAGCCAGUGACUUGGCUCGGGGGCUCCCACCCGGCUGGAGCGCCCAGGCCAGCGAGAAGCGGAUCUGGAGCAGCCAAUAGUCCUAAAAUAGUCUUAAUGGUGCUAACAGAGAACAAGAACCCGGAAGGGCAGAGCCGCGGCCAGAGCUUUGCAGCGCUUCUUCGAGUUCCCGCGUGCGAGGGAGUGCGCAGGGGUACCCGGCGAGCCACACUCAGAGGCGUUCUCGGAGGACGGGCCUCGGCAUCCCCCCAAGACGAGCCGAGCCGUCACUGGCACCCCAACACGCCCAGAGGGCUUCCCCUUCCUCGUGCCCACACGCGUCCCAAUGAAGUUCACAUCAUCGGCCUCAUCUCGAUGCCCCGACACGGAUCCUCCCACCCAGAAAAUCGGGCGUCCCCAUCGCCGGGCCCUCCAGAGAGAGGCAGAUGCAGAGCUUCCAGGAUCAAGAACAUCGUGGACAUAAUCAAAGUGGGGAACCCGUCCCCACUCCAUCCAUCCCCCACACACAGCAGAGAGCUUCUCCUUGAAUGCCAUUGUCAUCUGUUCACCUCCCCCCACCAGGAGAGCCCCACGAGGGCUCACUUGUGCCCUUUACAUCCAAUGGCCACCCGAGGGUGACAACCACCUGAAAAUUCCUGUCCACGGGGCCCUCUGUCCUGCCCAGUCCUUCCCAGGAGCCUCUCUCCCCUCCGGCCACGCGAGUCUCUUUGCCAAGGUCUACACCAAGGGGGACUCUGUGCUUUGGGUGUCCUGCUCUGCCCUGGUCCUCUAUCUUCCUACCUGGCCCCUUUGGAGUCCAACUCCAAGCCCACAUUUCUCAUCAAGAUGGUGCCAUGGCCCCUCAGGGCUCAGACCCUGCCUUCUCUUCAAGGCCCCUCAGUGCUUUCAUCCACAGAUGUCUCAUCUGCCUCUCCUCCGUGCUGGGAGCACAGAGGAGACUCCAUACUUCUCAGAUAGUAGAGUAGCAUGUGCACACUUGGGGCUCAAUAAGUGCUGGUUAAAUCACCCCUUUGCUUUACCACAAGCCACCAGGAGCCAUGUUUCUUCCUCAGAGAUGCACACCUUCACUGGUCCACUCUCUGAACCUCCUGCUCCCUCCCUACCCUUGGAUCCGCCUUCUCUCUCAUCACCACCAUGUGCCCCCCUUAGGAGUGAACUCGGGCCUCCCUCUAAAAAGGCAGGUGAGCCAGGCUGCUGACCUUCUGCUGUUGCUGACUGGGUCCUGGGAAUAUAACUCCUGAUACCUUAUUUGCCAUAGUUAGGACCCACCUCCCACAGCAUGUCCACCGCCUUCCCUAAAAUCCCUCUCAGGCUGUGGACCUCCUUGCCUCUUGCCCUGGCUGUGCUUGACCCCCUUCCACAAGAAGUUGUGGGAUCCCACACAUGCCCCCUCAUGGUUAUACAUGCCACUGGAGGCAUUUGAGCUCAGCCACAGAAUUACAAACCCUUCUGGAAACAAUCUUUGUGUGACAUUCAACCAAUAAACUUUCUUCUUACCUCCUAAUACA